UGCCAGCAGCCGCGGUAAUACGGAGGGGGUUAGCGUUGUUCGGAAUUACUGGGCGUAAAGCGCACGUAGGCGGACCAUUAAGUUGGGGGUGAAAUCCCGGGGCUCAACCCCGGAACUGCCUCCAAAACUGCUGGUCUAGAGUUCGAGAGAGGUGAGUGGAAUUCCGAGUGUAGAGGUGAAAUUCGUAGAUAUUCGGAGGAACACCAGUGGCGAAGGCGGCUCACUGGCUCGAUACUGACGCUGAGGUGCGAAAGUGUGGGGAGCAAACAGGAUUAGAUA
rnacentral:rRNA from 1 species